rnacentral:rRNA from 1 species
ACUCCUACGGGAGGCAGCAGUAGGGAAUCUUCCACAAUGGGUGCAAACCUGAUGGAGCAAUGCCGCGUGAGUGAAGAAGGUCUUCGGAUCGUAAAGCUCUGUUGUUAGAGAAGAACACGUGCUAGGUAACUACUAGCGCCUUGACGGUAUCUAACCAGAAAGUCACGGCUAACUACGUGCCAGCAGCCGCGGUAAUACGUAGGUGACAAGCGUUGUCCGGAUUUAUUGGGCGUAAAGGGAGCGCAGGCGGUCUGUUUAGUCUAAUGUGAAAGCCCACGGCUUAACCGUGGAACGGCAUUGGAAACUGACAGACUUGAAUGUAGAAGAGGAAAAUGGAAUUCCAAGUGUAGCGGUGGAAUGCGUAGAUAUUUGGAGGAACACCAGUGGCGAAGGCGAUUUUCUGGUCUAACAUUGACGCUGAGGCUCGAAAGCGUGGGGAGCGAACAGGAUUAGAUACCCCGGUAGUCCCA